ACCACCGCUGCUGCUGCUGCUCCCACCGCCAGUGCCACCACCGCCACCACCGCUACUGUAACUCCUGCGUGCCGUUUUCGUCGUGCGAGAGGACCAGCUACGAUCCUCCUAUCUCCCCACCUACCACACGCAAAGACUUAUAUUCUAACAAACAAUAAGCAAAACGUUUACCUUCUAUUAAGUUCCACUUACGGCCGUCCGAUUUGUCGUCGAGCUUUUUUCUCCUAUUCGUACUAUGCCACCUCUUUUCACCGACGGGUAGUUUGCCGUUGUUUUUUAAUGGACAUACGAUCCGUUGGUUUCCUCUUCUAUUUAAUUAUUAAGGUUUUAUUAUCGACUAUGUAAACACGAAUUCCGAUCGUAUCUACGAAGAAUUUCUUGUUGCUUAAUUAAUCUGGAAGAAAAAGAAACGCACAUUGAUAUGCCGCAUGAGCCAGUACUACCAAUUUUGAAAACCGUAAUUUAUUAUAAUUGAAGACGAAUAUAAGCGAGUUUCCGAUACUGUCGAUGGUGAAUGACUUUACGCGAGGUGCAAAUUCUCCUACGUUAUUCGAAAUCUUUCCUCCGGUCGGGGAAACUCGUUUGUGAAUUUUUCUCCGAUCCCGGUUGCGCGUUUCAAAGUCAACCCUAUAAAUUAUGCGUCCUGUUAAAGUAAUCUUUUUAUUCUGUUCGGUGACGCCUCUUUCUCCUUUCUUUCUCUUUCGAGGCGAGCGUGGAAUUUCAAGAAACGAUUCCACGCGUAAUGUCGUUUUUCGUGAAAAUAAAAGUGUGGCGUCAAAGCAGUCGCGAAAUACGUCCAGUUCUGUUACAACCGUUAAGGCAGGUGCACGUUUGAUUUCUUUACAGCCGCGGGUGAACGACAAUUUAUGGUAAUGUAUGCGCUGGCCACUGUCCUAUCCGAUUUCCGUAUUUAAUUAAAAUCUGAACGAAUACACGGGUCCCCUUAUUAGCCGCUAACAAAGCUGAUUUUCGUAUCAUCUCUAGGAAUGACAAAGAGAACGAGUCACAUGAGUGCGUGUGAUCGUUUGCGUACGAUCCGCUGGCAUUCGCCUUAUAUCGAAAUAAGCGAGAUAAAUUUCAGACAGAUUGAAUGACGUGUCCUCGGUUUAAUCACCUGUACGAACAAUACAACACAUUAUAUUCCGUUGAAAUAACGCGUUCGUUCGAUCGUACUUCAUUAUUUGCACGCAAACAUUAUACCCGUAUUAAUAACCUCAAAUGUCAGAAUCACUGCACGUACCUUUGUUAAGAAACCUUCGCGUUAAUUAUUCCUGGGACAACCAACACGACUCGCGUUCACGUGUGCCUGGAUUAACGUUUUUGUAAAUUUUCUGCCGGCUACAUAAAUCUUAUCGAUAAAUUGCAAUUAUCUUGCCUGCACGAAACUCUUCGGUACUUUCAGGUAUAUCGCAUGAAUCACGUUCCGUGCCAUACAUUCUUGGAAAGUUAUAAACUAAUUUAGAGGAAAAAGGUAGAAAAAUGGAAAAAAGCGACAUUGAAGAAAAGGGGAAGGAAAGAAGACUUACUAAAUUUCGAAUAUCCAGAAUAUUCCUCGAUACGAAGAAAUUACAACCUUUCUUUGAAAGCCAUUGUUUCCUGCAUUUCCCGCCAAUUUUGGUAGCACAGCGAUCGUACAAGUAUUUGAUUGGUUGGUUGACAAUGUUGUAAGUACUACAUAUCUGUCGGCGUGAUCUGUAACGUUUUGAAAGCAAUUUAUUAAUAUUCUCGUCGAAAUAAUGAAUUGUAUUUGAAAAAUAUAUACGACGAUAAAUUUAUCGCAUUACCAUAUACGUUGGAUUACUGAUGAGGGUGACAGGUAUGGUAUCAAACAUACAUUCAUUAAAAUCCUAUUUAAUUUUCGUUUCAAUUGAAAUAUAAUGAGGAAUCUGCAUGCUAUCAUAAAUGUAAUUAUUUGUAAAAUGUAAUUGCAUAAAUUGCGUUUGUUGUUCGUAAAAUUAUUCGUGACUGUAGUAACUUGAGAAUUAUUGAGGAUAGCACGAAAAUUUAAGCAAAUACGAUAAAGAUUGAAUAGAUAACAAAACAUCUUGAAUUAUACAAUAACUAAAAGGCUGCUAUUUGAAAUAUGUUACAUAUUUUAAGGUAUAAAUUUAAUAAACAUGCUUACCUACAACUUACAACAUUCGAUGAUCCUGCUAAGAAACGAUCAACGUGCCAUGACACUUUCGUACGUUACAACUUUGAAAAUCUAAAAUAGUAUCGCAGAGACAUCUAUGCUCAGAUCAAUAUCUAAUGAAAUCUUCGCUAGGUUACGUCGAUAACACUAUUCCUCUACUAUACCGACCUUUAGCAAUGCGUAUCUGUAAUUCAGAGCUAAACUGAUACAACUCAAUCCACCGACGAGGUACUUUUUUUUUGUUAUUUUUCAACACAGCACAAUUAUUGUAAUUAUCACACAUAGAUUUUUGCAAUAUCUUAAUCCGGCUGCUAUCACUUUCAAUAAUUAAAGUGAUUUCAAAGUUCCAAUAGAGGUUAUACGCCAUACUUCUACCUAUUAUUUGAUUAAAUCUGGAUGUAAUCAUCGAUCGUCAAUGUACUAGUGAUUCGUUGCUAUUUCCGAUAUUACUAUGGAAUUAUUCGUCCAGCAUUCCGCAAUACCAAGGAAACGUUUACGUAAUGAAUAUCUAAGGUUCAUCAGGACGAUACUAGCGAGCAUGACGAAAGCGAGGAACACGACCCUGCUCGUGGCUGGUAGGAAGGAACUCCCAUUCUUCUCGUCCGAGAACAGAGCCCCGUACUCGUACUCACCCAUCAUCAUUACCACGGUCUUCACGACGGCCCUCCAGGAAUUGCGAAACUGGUCGUUCCCGUGGAACAAAACGGCGAAGCUGAACGCGAAUCCGACAAUCAGGCAGACGAACGCUAGGAGAACCUGAAAGGAAAUAAAAAGCCCCAGAUGCACGUUGUUAUAAUCGCGAAGUAGAGAGGGUGGUAGGGCUGUGCGAAGUAGGGGUAGGCAAGUGGGUCCUGAUGGGAGCCAUAUCACCGACCAGACAUUUAGAACCUUGCUUCUUCCUUCUUCCCCCUUUGGCUUUUCAUUUCUAACGAUAUUCGCCGAAGGGAAGAGCCUCGUCGCUCUCUUGUACCUUUCGUUUCGGCUAAAUGCAGGAUCUUUCGCCAUACAGACGGAAUUAAAAAAAAAAAAGAAAAAAGAAAA